rnacentral:rRNA from 1 species
UGUAUUUAUUAGAUAAAAAACCAAUGCCCUUCGGGGCUUUUUGGUGAUUCAUGAUAACUUUACGGAUCGCAUAGCCUUGCGCUGGCGACGGUUCAUUCAAAUUUCUGCCCUAUCAACUUUCGAUGGUAAGGUAUUGGCUUACCAUGGUUUCAACGGGUAACGGGGAAUUAGGGUUCGAUUCCGGAGAGGGAGCCUGAGAAACGGCUACCACAUCCAAGGAAGGCAGCAGGCGCGCAAAUUACCCAAUCCCGACACGGGGAGGUAGUGACAAUAAAUACUGAUACAGGGCUCUUUUGGGUCUUGUAAUUGGAAUGAGUACAAUUUAAACCUCUUAACGAGGAACAAUUGGAGGGCAAGUCUGGUGCCAGCAGCCGCGGUAAUUCCAGCUCCAAUAGCGUAUAUUAAAGUUGUUGCAGUUAAAAAGCUCGUAGUUGAAACUUGGGCCUGGCUGGCGGGUCCGCCUCACCGCGUGCACUCGUCCGGCCGGGCCUUCCCUCUGAAGAACCUCAUGCCCUUCACUGGGCGUGCU